rnacentral:rRNA from 1 species
CAGUAGGGUGCCAUCAAGAGGUG